UGAACGCUAGCGACAGGCUUAACACAUGCAAGUCGAGGGGCAGCACAGGUAGCAAUACCGGGUGGCGACCGGCGCGCGGGUGAGUAACGCGUAUGCAACUUACCUAUCAGAGGGGGAUAACCCGGCGAAAGUCGGACUAAUACCGCAUGAAGCAGGGGCCCCGCAUGGGGAUAUUUGCUAAAGAUUCAUCGCUGAUAGAUAGGCAUGCGUUCCAUUAGGCAGUUGGCGGGGUAACGGCCCACCAAACCGACGAUGGAUAGGGGUUCUGAGAGGAAGGUCCCCCACAUUGGUACUGAGACACGGACCAAACUCCUACGGGAGGCAGCAGUGAGGAAUAUUGGUCAAUGGCCGAGAGGCUGAACCAGCCAAGCCGCGUGAGGGAUGAAGGUUCUAUGGAUCGUAAACCUCUUUUAUAAGGGAAUAAAGUGCGGGACGUGUCCCGUUUUGUAUGUACCUUAUGAAUAAGGAUCGGCUAACUCCGUGCCAGCAGCCGCGGUAAUACGGAGGAUCCGAGCGUUAUCCGGAUUUAUUGGGUUUAAAGGGUGCGUAGGCGGCCUUUUAAGUCAGCGGUGAAAGUCUGUGGCUCAACCAUAGAAUUGCCGUUGAAACUGGGAGGCUUGAGUAUGUUUGAGGCAGGCGGAAUACGUGGUGUAGCGGUGAAAUGCAUAGAUAUCACGCAGAACCCCGAUUGCGAAGGCAGCCUGCCAAGCCAUUACUGACGCUGAUGCACGAAAGCGUGGGGAUCAAACAGGAUUAGAUACCCUGGUAGUCCACGCAGUAAACGAUGAUCACUAGCUGUUUGCGAUACACUGUAAGCGGCACAGCGAAAGCGUUAAGUGAUCCACCUGGGGAGUACGCCGGCAACGGUGAAACUCAAAGGAAUUGACGGGGGCCCGCACAAGCGGAGGAACAUGUGGUUUAAUUUGAUGAUACGCGAGGAACCUUACCCGGGUUUGAACGCAUUCGGACCGAGGUGGAAACACCUUUUCUAGCAAUAGCCGUUUGCGAGGUGCUGCAUGGUUGUCGUCAGCUCGUGCCGUGAGGUGUCGGCUUAAGUGCCAUAACGAGCGCAACCCUUGCCACUAGUUACUAACAGGUAAAGCUGAGGACUCUGGUGGGACUGCCAGCGUAAGCUGCGAGGAAGGCGGGGAUGACGUCAAAUCAACACGGCCCUUACAUCCGGGGCGACACACGUGUUACAAUGGCGUGGACAAAGGGAAGCCACCUGGCGACAGGGAGCGAAUCCCCAAACCACGUCUCAGUUCGGAUCGGAGUCUGCAACCCGACUCCGUGAAGCUGGAUUCGCUAGUAAUCGCGCAUCAGCCAUGGCGCGGUGAAUACGUUCCCGGGCCUUGUACACACCGCCCGUCAAGCCAUGGGAGCCGGGGGUACCUGAAGUCCGUAACCGCGAGGAUCGGCCUAGGGUAAAACUGGUGACUGGGGCUAA
rnacentral:rRNA from 1 species